rnacentral:rRNA from 1 species
GAUGAACGCUGGCGGCGUGCCUAAUACAUGCAAGUCGCGCGAAGCGGGGACGGGUGAGAAAACCGUGGGUAACCUCCUAUCAGACUGGGAUAAAUUCGGGAAACCGGAGCUAAAACGGAUAAUGAAAGAUGGAUCCGUGCUGCAUUAGCUAGUUGGUAAGGUAACUGGUUACAAAGACAACUAUGCAUAGACGACCUUAAAGGGUGAGCGGCCACAGUGUAACUGAGACACGGUCCAGACGCCUACGGGAGGCAGUAGUAGGGAAUCUUCCGCAAUUGGCGAAAGCCUGACGUAGCAACGCCGCGUGAGUGAUGAAGGCCUUCGGAUCGUAAAACUCUUUUGUUAGAUAAGCGGUAUCUAACCAGAAAGCCACGGCUAACUACGUGCCAGCAGCCGCGGUAAUUC